rnacentral:rRNA from 1 species
AGUGAAGGCUGGCGGUAGGCCUAACACAUGCAAGUCGAACGGCAGCACAGUAAGAGCUUGCUCUUACGGGUGGCGAGUGGCGGACGGGUGAGGAAUACAUCGGAAUCUACUUUUUCGUGGGGGAUAACGUAGGGAAACUUACGCUAAUACCGCAUACGACCUACGGGUGAAAGCAGGGGAUCUUCGGACCUUGCGCGAUUGAAUGAGCCGAUGUCGGAUUAGCUAGUUGGCGGGGUAAAGGCCCACCAAGGCGACGAUCCGUAGCUGGUCUGAGAGGAUGAUCAGCCACACUGGAACUGAGACACGGUCCAGACUCCUACGGGAGGCAGCAGUGGGGAAUAUUGGACAAUGGGCGCAAGCCUGAUCCAGCCAUACCGCGUGGGUGAAGAAGGCCUUCGGGUUGUAAAGCCCUUUUGUUGGGAAAGAAAAGCAGCAGGUUAAUACCCCGCUGUUCUGACGGUACCCAAAGAAAAAGCACCGGCUAACUUCGUG